GACGAACGCUGGCGGCGUGCUUAACACAUGCAAGUCGAACGGAAAGGCCCUUCGGGGUACUCGAGUGGCGAACGGGUGAGUAACACGUGGGUGAUCUGCCCUGCACUUUGGGAUAAGCCUGGGAAACUGGGUCAAAUACCGAAUAGGACCACGCGCUUCAUGGUGUGUGGUGGAAAGCUUUUGCGGUGUGGGAUGGGCCCGCGGCCUAUCAGCUUGUUGGUGGGGUAAUGGCCUACCAAGGCGACGACGGGUAGCCGGCCUGAGAGGGUGACCGGCCACACUGGGACUGAGAUACGGCCCAGACUCCUACGGGAGGCAGCAGUGGGGAAUAUUGCACAAUGGGCGCAAGCCUGAUGCAGCGACGCCGCGUGAGGGAUGACGGCCUUCGGGUUGUAAACCUCUUUCAAUAGGGACGAAGCGCAAGUGACGGUACCUAUAGAAGAAGCACCGGCCAACUACGUG
rnacentral:rRNA from 1 species